UCCAGCGCAUUCCAGAGGUGGCUGGAGCAGAUGGAGUCAGCUUCGUGAGUGCUGCAGGAAACCGUAGAAACCAGCCAGCUUGCCGGCCCACGCGGCAGUCUAGAGACGCCCAGCCUGUGGCAGGAUGAGAGGCCAGACGGUGUUAACCGGGGACAUGCUGCAGACAACGUUCGGACUUGGAGCCGCCUGCGAGCGACGUGCCCGGCCUGGGCUGUACCUGCUCCAUGGGUAAAUAGAGGCUUCUGGGCUAGCAGCUCUCUGCCGUUUGGGGUGAAAGCUAAGGUGGUAGUUUGGACCUACAAAGCCCCAAGUGGCUUGGGCUCUCCCUGAGAGACAGCCUCUCCCUCUGGGCCAUCCUGCCAGGCUGGAGUCAGGGGGUUAAUGAGCCGGGGUCCCGUGGCGGGAGAUGCUGCCGGCUGGGUGUUCUCCAUGCAGAACAGCUUGAUUUUACUGCCCUUUGUGAUGAAGUGGGACGGUUCUUAAUGUUUCCUCUGAAUACUGUGUGGGUGCCUCAGUUUCCCCUAUGCAUUUCUUAAGUCUCUAGGUGGUGGGGAAAGGCCAGUGUGCAUAAAUCACUGACACUCUGUCUCCCUGGCAACAAAUGGCCAGGGCCCCUUCCCCCCCCUGCAAGGAAAUAGCUAAAGGUGAACAAAGAGAUCAGAUGACCUCCUGGCCCAGGAAAGAGACAAAGGAGGGGCUGGAGGGGGUUUGAGAGUUGGAACUACCUGGGGACUAGGAGUGAGGGCAGACGUGGGUGUCUGGCUCUCUGAACCCCAUAAUGGACCCGGCCGAGGGGUCCCGUUCGCCGAUGUACCUACAAGCUCUGUUUUAGACCGUGUUCCUGUCAUCUAAUAAACCUCUGUUUUACUGGCUGGCUGAGAGUCACGUCUGACUGCGAAGUGGGGGUGCAGAACCCUUUGGCUUCCCCAGGACCCCGCCUGGGUGGACUCGCUGUUGGAAGCGCACGGAGGGGCAUAUGCUGAAUGCUCCCAGGAGAGACCCAGGAGGUGAAGCCGUGUGAGCUUCUUGCCCUGAAGACAGUCUGCUCCGAGGGAGAGGAGGCUCCCCAAAGUCCUGACUGGCUUUGUGGGGAGCAGUUCCAGAGCAUUGCCCGGGGACUCCGUGACACCCUCCAAAACAGUUCCCCCGACGCAUCGUGCUCGGCGGCAAGGGCAUGGCAGCAGACUGGCCCGGCCCGGCUUCUCCCGGGCUGGAGAGGCAGCUGGCGGCAGCCAAGUUACAUUCCUUUUCCCGUGCCGAUGUGUUGUGAGCUCAGCUGUAAAAAGCAUGAGGACGUUCCUAAGAAGUCCCAAUAAUUUAUGAUCACAAAAGCUGGUGGGAAGAGGCACGCCAAGGAGACAGCAAACCGGAAUUAGCCGGCACAAAACAGCUUCCGAUAGAACUCCGGGACUGGGUUAAGUCCGUGCCCGACGACCAAGAAAAUGUAAAUUCGGAAGCCAAUGAAUCAAAAUUGGUGGCUCAGAGAUUCUGCCAGUUGCCUCUCCACUCCCAGCCGAAGCCAUGCCGUGCCAGUCUGCUGCGGUGCCUUUGCCUGAUUGGUGGACAAAAUAAUGAGGGGAGGGGCUAUUAAACAAAAAGACUUUGUGGGCACAAUACGGAAGCACAGACGGAUGCUACUGGAGUGAGCGUCACCAUGGAGUUCGAAGGGACUGCCAAGGUCAUCUAGUCUAAGAUGCAGGAUUUGUUGUGUCUAAACCAUCCAAGACAGCCUCUUUUGAAAGUCUCCAGUGAGGGAGCUUCCACAGCCUCCCUAGGCAUCUAUUCCAUUCUCCUACUGCUCUUACAGCGAGGGAGUUUUUCCCUGAGAUUUCAUCUAAAUCUGCUGGGCUGUCGUUUGAACCCACUGCCCCUUGUCCUGCCCUCGGUGGCAGGGGAGAACAACUUUUCUCCAUCUUUUUUAUGGCAGCCUUUCAAAUAUUUGAAGACCAUCACAGCGGCCGCCCCCCUACUGUUUCCUGGGAUGCUGGAAUUUCGUCACCCUAAAUCUAUGUUCUGAGUAGACUGGGCCAGAGAGAGGGACCCAGCUGACACCGUGACCUCUGCUGGCGCCAGCUGAAUCCUCAACACCGUCCAAGUGACUCACAAGGUGGGUGAAGUAAUAUCUUUUAUUGGACCAACAGAAGAUAUGACCUCACCCACUCUGUUUCUCUCUCAUUCUGGAACCAACAAGUUAUAUAUAACAAGACUCCAAACCAUCUAAGAAACUGUCAAAGAAGGGAGUUUUUCCUUCUAAAACUCUCUCCUGCUAAGGGGAACUAGGGAUGUUGUUAAAACGAAAGCCUUAUUUAAUACUGACAUUGCAAAUGCUGUCUCUGGUUUUCCUUCUUUUCUUUAUCUUUAAUAAAAGGUUACAAGAAUUUUGAAUGGUGUGUUUGCCAUGGGACGAAGCAGGCUGACGUCUCUGUAUACCAAACGCCAAACCUUGUUGGACAUUGUUUAAUGUUGGACAGUGACUGGGUUGUGUUGAUACCUUUGGCCCAUAUAUUCCGUCUAAAUUAAUACAACGGUGCUGUACGUUUUCGUUGCUGAUAGGUAGGGCCCAGGGUUUUUGCAGCAAUGAAAACAAAGUCAUUUCAGAUUUUCAAAGCUGUAUAUUUUGGAAAUAUCAGAUAUGCAUUAUAUUAAUACAGAAAAUACACAGAUCGACAAACCCGAGCAAGCUGGAAUCCUUUACAGCACCAGACUGCAGUAGCCUGCAUUACAAUGUUUACAGACACUUUUGAAAUGGUUUUUGACAUCUGAAAUGGUCAGUUUUAGAACAUAACAAAUGUAUUAAGUGAUCAUCUUCAUCGCUAUCAACACAAAACAACAUUCUUGCCGCGCAAGACUAUGCAAUUAAUAUAAUCUAACAGCACAGGGAAAUUUGGCAUAAUUACAUUUCUGCUUAAAGUAAACCAAUGUUCUAUUGCAUAUCGCCUGCAUCAGCAUACAAAUAUUCAUUGACACGCUUAGGGCACAUUACAAGUACAUCGUCACGCUUUCCAAUGACAUGGCGGGGUUAGCCCUUGUCCAAAUUUGGAGAAACCACGUUCAGCGUCAACCGAAUUGCAUGGGAUUGCCAAAAGACCACGAGCAGUCUGGCUAGGUUUUGGCAAAUGUUUGUCCAUGCUUUUACCAAAACCUGGAGAGAGAAAUGUCAUUGGGACGAGGAAGUUCAUUUACAAUGCUCAGAUAAACUGCCCACUCACCCACAGGUACAAAGCGCAGCAGUGAAAUACUCCAUUCCCAGUCACUGCAGUUGUGGGAGAAUACACAAACUUGCUUGAGAUCGAGGAUUCUCACGUCGUGGGCAACCUAGGCUGGCCGUUUGUCUGUAUUUAUGUACCCGGCAUUUUCUCUGCACGGCUUUGAAAAUCUUGAGCCUUGGGAUUGUGCAGUGCACGCCGUCCUUUGAACGGAAGCAUUGCCGGCAAAUCAGAUGCAAGGUUGUACACUGCUCUUGAUAAUGCCGACUGUGAUUCAAACGUAAGUAGUGUCUGAACAAGUGGAGUUGGAUAAAUUAAAUUUGCCACAAGCGAUUAGCUCUGCAAUAAAACAUGUAGCUCCUCUAAAACGGCGGUUGUGUCCUCCAUGUCGAUUUCCUGAGCAACGAACCCCUUGUCGUACUCCACACAAUGGUUGUGAUAGUCUACAGCUUUAAACCAAGUAUUCCACCUUGUUGCAACUGGUUCCCGAGGUAAUGUCGGGCUUUCAACUCUUUGGUCCAUAAGGUAGUCUCUAAAGCGAGCAGGUCUGAGUGGAGGGUUUAUUAGAGCACACAGACCAUCCACUUCGGUACAGAAACGGUGCCUGGUAAAGCUGUAACACGUGCCCAGAAAGUCACAGAAAUGCAUUGGUUAAAAUGCCACUUUGAACGACGUCCACAGGGAUUUUGCAUUACCUGCCACAUAAGCCCCUGCAUUUGACAAGUCAAUGUCAUCUUGUACCAGGGUCUUUGUAACAGCUCGUGCAACUAGGGAGUAGUUAACACGUCCUAACUCCACUGUUUCGACGAGCUUGGCAGCAGCUGGGCAACCGUCUGAAACCUGCAUGCGCUGUGUUUGAAUAUUUGCAGCGUGCCCGUGUAGGCUGUCUGUGUAGUCAUCCAAAAUUACGGCUACUGUCUGAUCCUUCUGUUCGGCGCUGGUUUUGUUCAA